AUCCAGAUGACGAGUCCCAAAUAGAACGAAAGGUGCGUCCUGGAU
rfam:Schistosoma rodhaini strain Burundi genome assembly, scaffold: SROB_scaffold0002156